rnacentral:rRNA from 1 species
UACGUAGGGUCCGAGCGUUGUCCGGAAUUACUGGGCGUAAAGAGCUCGUAGGUGGUUUGUCGCGUUGUUCGUGAAAACUCACAGCUCAACUGUGGGCGUGCGGGCGAUACGGGCAGACUAGAGUACUGCAGGGGAGACUGGAAUUCCUGGUGUAGCGGUGGAAUGCGCAGAUAUCAGGAGGAACACCGGUGGCGAAGGCGGGUCUCUGGGCAGUAACUGACGCUGAGGCACGAAAGCGUGGGGAGCAAACAGG